rnacentral:rRNA from 1 species
UACGUAGGGUGCGAGCGUUAAUCGGAAUUACUGGGCGUAAAGCGUGCGCAGGCGGCGCGUUUAAGACAGGUGUGAAAGCCCCGAGCUUAACUUGGGAAUUGCGCUUGUGACUGGCGUGCUGGAGUGUGGCAGAGGGAGGUGGAAUUCCACGUGUAGCAGUGAAAUGCGUAGAGAUGUGGAGGAACACCGAUGGCGAAGGCAGCCUCCUGGGCCAGCACUGACGCUCAUGCGCGACAGCGUGGGGAGCAAACAGG